rnacentral:rRNA from 1 species
CCUACGGGUGGCUGCAGUGAGGAAUAUUGGUCAAUGGACGAGAGUCUGAACCAGCCAAGUAGCGUGAAGGAUGACUGCCCUAUGGGUUGUAAACUUCUUUUAUAAAGGAAUAAAACGAGGCACGUGUGCCUUUUUGCAUGUACUUUAUGAAUAAGGAUCGGCUAACUCCGUGCCAGCAGCCGCGGUAAUACGGAGGAUCCGAGCGUUAUCCGGAUUUAUUGGGUUUAAAGGGUGCGUAGGCGGUCAGGUAAGUUAGAGGUGAAAGCUCGAUGCUCAACAUCGAAACUGCCUCUGAUACUGUCUGACUAGAGUGUAGUUGCGGAAGGCGGAAUGUGUGGUGUAGCGGUGAAAUGCUUAGAUAUCACACAGAACACCGAUUGCGAAGGCAGCUUUCCAAGCUAUUACUGACGCUGAGGCACGAAAGCGUGGGGAGCGAACAGGAUUAGAUACCCGGGUAGUC